AUACGGAGGAUGCGAGCGUUAUCCGGAUUUAUUGGGUUUAAAGGGAGCGUAGGUGGGAUAUUAAGUCAGCUGUGAAAGUUUGGGGCUCAACCUUAAAAUUGCAGUUGAUACUGGUUUCCUUGAGUACGGUACAGGUGGGCGGAAUUCGUGGUGUAGCGGUGAAAUGCUUAGAUAUCACGAAGAACUCCGAUCGCGAAGGCAGCUCACCGGGCCGGAACUGACACUGAUGCUCGAAAGUGCGGGUAUCAAACAGGAUUAGAUACCCUGGUAGUCCGCACAGUAAACGAUGAGUACUCGCUGUUUGCGAUACACGGUAAGCGGCCAAGCGAAAGCGUUAAGUAUUCCACCUGGGGAGUACGCCGGCAACGGUGAAACUCAAAUGAAUUGGCGGGG
rnacentral:rRNA from 1 species